UCCACAAGACAUUGGAAAGAUUUUAUAAUGCAUAUAAAUAGAAUUUAGUAAGGUUUUGGCAGAUUUGUGACCCAUAUUAAUUUGAAUAAUUUACAGUGCCUCCUAAUGCAUAGUCAAGCUUGGUAGUCUUGGGUUCAGGUAAAGAGUCCUGAAUAUAUUUCUCUGAUACUGACCUCAGGCAGCAUGGUUUCUUUGACAAAAAUGUGUUUUCUCCAGUAGCUGUGGGACAAAACAACAAAUCUUGACCAUCUGAUCUACUUCUAUCUGAUCUCAGGUAAUUCACACUCUUAAAGUGGACAGCAAAUAUAAAACGUGUUUGAAGAGGUUUUUUAAAGUAAUAAGCUCAUAUAGCCUUGUAACAGCAAGGCUUAUUAGUCAGCGUAGUAUUUUCCCAGUAUAUUAGAACAGGCAUGUUAUUUCUAGAAAAACAUUCAGAAAGAACAGUAUGUUAUAGGCACUCAUUUCUGCACCUUCUGCCCUUGAUCUACUCUGAAUGUCUCUAUAGCUGAUGUUGAAAACAGAGACCAAGACUUCCAAAAGUUAUGAUGUGAGGAAAAUUGAUAACUGGAUAAAUGCACAUUUUAAAAUUGCUACCAAUAAAAUGAUAAAUGUGGAAAGUAUGUUCAUCACCGUGGAUGCAAAAACAAGCAUUUUUUUUGAUAAAGUAGUAAACAUAGAUUCCACGGUAACGUAAUGACUACUGCUUGUCCUGGGUUAACACCCAAGCAGUUCUGAAGAGUUAUUGAAGUGAAAAAAUCUGGAUGAAAUAUCACUCUCUUAAAAACACUGUAUUCUCCUAUAGAUAAAUUGAAUCUCAUUUUAUAAUUGCUCAUUGCUAAUCAGCACUCCUCACUUGGGGAAAAGGGAGUGCCUUUGUCUAUAUAUGGGAAAAGGAAGGAAAUUAAUGCACCUGUAGAGAAUGAUAAUCCUGAGACUGUGCACUGUAUGUGCAAUAAUCAGGAGGUGUUGGGUCACUCCAGAGUUUUAGAAAACUAGGGGACACUAGUAAGAAAUUUGACCAGAAAGUACUAGAAAUAUCAAGCCACAGAAAGCAGUCUUUGGAACCAAGUUUUUUUCCUCUCAACCAUCCCUUCAAAGUCUGUGUUUUUCCAAUAAAUUUUUGUAAGGCUAAGGGACAAUAAACAACGAUUCCUCUGUGGUGAUUAUUCUCCUCCCUGAUCUUGAGGGGAUGCUGGUUUGAAAGAGCCCUGUAUUUUUCUGUUUCUAUAGUUUAUUUACUGCCACUUCAACUGGUACUCACAAGAAGGCUGUAUGACUGUGGUAGCACAAGAAACAGUUCCUCCAGGGGAUGGAUGAACUCCCUGAUAACAUCAUGCAGGAAACUUUAUGAAGCCUUUCAACCAGCCAGGUCUACACUGAAGCUGUUAUGUAAGGAGAAAUAUCUGAGAGUAGAAGUCCUGUGAAACUGUAACUUGUGUCUGGGCUGCUGCACUUCAAAAGCAUGGGCAGGAAGAAAAGGUUCCAUUUUAAUUUUCUAUUUUUGCCUUGAGAGCUGGUAUUUGUACUAACUGUAUCGAUGUAUAGCCAAGCUAUAUUCUUGGACUCAGUUUUCCCAAUGGACCAGCUUCCCCCUUUGCAGCAUCAGUCUUGCAGCAGGAUCUUCGCAAGCCAGCUGCCCACGCAACCCCGUUGUCAUGUGGGCUGUAGAGUCAGCUUGUCUGAAAUCUCACAAAGUAAUUACCAGGGAACGUCUUAGGAGUGCAAAUAUAUCUGCUCAGCAUUCCUGGGAGGUUUGUGCAGGAGUUUAAGCUGAUACAGAAGACUAUUAAAAUGAAAUGCAGUAUAAUGGCAGUAUGAAAAGACUGGAAAUUUUGCAAGUGAUGGAGCAGAAACGCCAUUCAUCAUCUCAGAGUGGAGACUGUAGGCCGGGUUGGAUGUUCAGCAGCAAGCCCUCUUGUGCACUCUGUAGGGCCAUGGAAGUUGGUUGUUCCUGAAGACUGUUUAAAGACAUCUUUUCUGAGAAAUAUUUGCAUGACUUCAGAUUUGGGAACAAAGGUACAUCCAGACAAUAAAUACCACUAGCGUAUUACAGGCAGCUUCUGUUGCACAUACCUGAAACAGAUUUCUUCGUGGCAUCGGUGAUUUUCUAGAGAUGUGUCUCAGUGUGUUUGAAGUGAAUGUUCAACAGGUUUUGAAUGAGGAAAAAAAAAGUGUCAGGGGAGGUUAGUAUGUGCUGUAAGAAUAUCUGUUUCGUAACAGUUGUGGUUGUCACAAUAACAUGAUUAACGUGUUCUUCAUUGCCAGACGCUCUCUCAGUUCUUCAUAUGGUGACAAAGAUGAGUAGGGAGAAAGCUUCAUCCUUCAGAAAAGCUGAGAAUUUAAACCAUUCCUAUUGCCUAGUUGUAGGCAGUUGACUGAAUCACGAGUGUGGUCUGGCCACUAGUGCUUUCCUUAGCAAUGAUUUUUAAUGUGCCAGACUCGCUUUCCCCUUAGCACAGUCCCGUUUCUUUCAAUGAUCAAAAGAAAUAGAGGGCUACCUUUUUUCCUUUAGCAAAAUUUUUUAGUCUGUGGGCACUGAGUAAUUCAUACAAGUUAUGCAGUUCAUAGAAGAUAAGGCAUUACUUUUGUUCCAAGUUCCCCAAAAUACACAUUAAUGUUAAUGUCUUUCAGUCUGCCCUGUCGCUGCCACCCAAGCACUUAUAAAUCACUUUCAAUUAUACAUAUUUUUAAACUUAGCUUGAUUUUGGACAAAGCUACAGUGAAAGGCUUUGUAAGACAUGCUUAAAAUAAGCCAGCACUAUUGGUUAUCCUCCACAGAUUUUCUCUUCUGUUGAGCCUCUGCUCUGACUUCUGCCUGAUUUGGUCAGUAUCGAUUUUGUCUUCUCAAAAUGCUCUUGGUUACUUUUCACAGCCAUCCAUCUUGCCCGUCAGAUGUUGUUUAUCUGGGGUGACAACUGCUUACCCAUUAAUUUGCAAAGUCAUUUAGAUGCAUGGUUUUUUGUCAGACUGUCUAUUUUUAAAGAGGCCUGAACACUGCUGGGUUAAGUUACAUUCCUAGGUGUGCUUUUUUGGAUAUCUGUUAGUGUCAAUGGUUUACGGGCUGGUUCAGCCCGCUUCCGUGACUAAUGGGGCAGAGGGAUUUUGCAUAAGCCGCACCUCUGGAAAAAGAAAACAGGGGACCCCAAAAUAGUGAAAAACAGUGGCAACGAUCUGAGGAGAACAAACUAAUUUACUAAAUAUAGUAUCGGAAUGCAAGAUAACACACUACAAUAUAACUAGAAUUAAAGCUAGUAAAUCAAAUAUA